rnacentral:rRNA from 1 species
GAGUUUGAUCGUGGCUCAGAUUGAACGCUGGCGGCAGGCCUAACACAUGCAAGUCGAGCGGAUGACGGGAGCUUGCUCCUUGAUUCAGCGGCGGACGGGUGAGUAAUGCCUAGGAAUCUGCCUGGUAGUGGGGGAUAACGUAGCGAAAGUUACGCUAAUACCGCAUAUUCUGUGAGCAGGAAAGCGGGGGACCUUCGGGCCUCGCGCUCUUGGAGCGGCCGAUGUCGGAUUAGCUAGUUGGUGAGGUAAAGGCUCACCAAGGCGACGAUCCGUAGCAGGUCUGAGAGGAUGAUCUGCCACACUGGAACUGAGACACGGUCCAGACUCCUACGGGAGGCAGCAGUGGGGAAUUUUGGGCAAUGGGGCAACCCUGAUCCAGCCAUGCCGCGUGAGUGAAGAAGGCCUU